GGCUGCCGCUUCCAGAAUUUGCCUAGAGCGGGGGUAGGAGGGCAGUGGAAAUCACCUACAGCUGCGUCUCGGUCGCUAACAGUUUGGUGCCUCCGGGCUGACUGAUUACACCGGGGAGGAGGAGGGGAUUAGAGAGAAUAGCUCCGGCGCGUCACGGAAAAGGGUUACUGCUGCUCCUCCUCCUCUUCCACACCCCUUUGGAUUCCAACCCCGAGUUCCCCCAUCCCCUGGUUAAAAAGAGAGAGAGAGACAGAGAGAGAGAGAAAAGCACUUCCCUCUUACCUUUCCCGGGAGAAAGUGCGUCCCAGCAGCGCCGUCUAGCGUCCUUACCGGAGUACGCCAGCCUAAAGGGCUAGGCCGAGCGCGGAACCCAGUGAGUGAAGGCAGGGAAAACCGCUAAGCAAAGUUUGUCAACUAUCCCGAUCCCCAGUUCCACCCGUUGAGCAGCUCUCUCCAGCUGUUCUCCUGAGGCUACUCCAUCGCUCUGCAUUAGCUGCGGAGAGUGACGCGAGCAAGCGAGCCAAAGACUGAGACAGAGACCGGAACGGACAGCUAGAACAGAACGUUCUGUGCGCGCGGCGAGCCUGCGGACCCACACCUUGCUUCAGUUUCCGUGACUAUUUGGCCUUGAUCCACUAUCCCCUGGACUUUUAAGGCCGAGACUGUGCACAACUAAAGUUACCGUCCCUGUCUCACUUUUCAUGACAAGUUUAUGAAUUCUUUUUUCCCAUUGACCAUCUCAGAAAAUUUGGCAAAACCCCACCCUGGAAAAUUCUUUCUGCAAUUGGUUAGGUCCAGGGAUCGAGAGAGGUCAGGUGUGGAAGGAAAGGUCCUUUUGGCAGGAACCAAGUUAUCCUCCCAGGUGUUUGGUGUUUAUAGGUGCAGUGUGGUGGGGGGAGGGCUGUAUUUUGAAACAGCGGAAAGAUCUUAGAAUUUCUGCUUCUGUUGUCCUCUUUUCAGAUACAAGCUCAGUCUUCCGAUGGGGACUAGAGAGCCAGUUUUCCCUUGCUCUUUGCUAUAAAGCUCAUGUAAACGUCCUUCUGCCUGAGUGCCUGCCCUGAGCAAUCCGGAUCACAACUUCCAGCCAUCCAGCUGCACCUGCAUUAAUGUUUUUCCGGCUCAACGUAAAGUGCUUCCAAAAGGCUGGGAACUGCAGCAAUUCAGGGUGGAAGAACACUGCCUCUUCACAUCUCACCUGCCUAAUGCCUCCACUCUUGCCUUUAGCAUAGCCCCAAGCCCUCAUGCCCUGGGCCCUAGCUGAGCAGCUAGGCUGUCUAUAGGUGAGGCCAUCUGGCCAAACCAGGAGAGCUCUCAUUUACAUAUAAAGGUGUUAAGGAGCCAGCAGCCAGGACAAAGGGAGCUAACCCAGGGUAGCAGCCAAUAAUAAAUAUCCCUAAGCAAUUUGUCAAGUAAACAAGAGAUUUUAAAGAAAUAACAAGAAACAAACAAGCAAACAAACACCUAGAAAGCACUGUUCCUGUGGAGCCCUUUUAUCAUCUUUUAUGUCCAAUUCCACCUAACUUUACUCUAACACUCAGUGCCUUUUUGUAUACAAGUUCUAUGUCUCCUGCCCUAUCAAAACUCACUCUCCCAUGUACCUACCACACUUUCAGUACUCUUCCUGCUGAUGACAAUGUGUCGGUGUUCCAGUCUGAUAAAUACCUAACUAGUCUAGCUAACCUUACUCCCCUGGGUAAUAUCAUCCUUCACCAGAGGCUUUGAGAAGAUUUUCCACAAUUGAAGAAUUCAGGCACUAUGGCAGACCAGUGGAUUUUCUUUGGAUGGAGGAAGGGCUCUUGGUACCCAUCAAAGAGGGCUGCUGUUUGGCCUAUUCAGCAGUUCUGGCUUAUGGUUAAAUGAAGUUAUUGCAAGAGAGUCAAGGAAUAUAGGAAUAAGGAGAUCAAACAGGAACAAAAUGCCAAGAAGAUGGGAAGGAACCACUGACUUCUCAAAAAUAAUGUCUGGGACCUUGCUCCUCAAAGUGAUAUCCAUAACCAGCAGCAUUGGGGCAUCACCUGGCAGCUUGCUAGAAUUGCAGAAUCUUAGAACCCAGCCCCGGAGAAGGCAAUGGCACCCCACUCCAGUAC